GGGUUCACAGGUGCUUUCUUCUUGAGAAGGUUCCCAACUUUACCAAGCAAAGUCUUCUUCUUCUUGAGUUUCUUCUCCAUCACAAGCUGAUCUUCGGUUCCUAUUUCAUCCACGUUGUUCUCUGUUGAGGUUUUAUCGUUUUCGUCGAUUUUGCUUGAGUCUUCUUCCUCCUCUUCUUGAGUCUCUAGUGGAAGAUUCUUGUCGGGGAAAGCUUCUUUCUUCUCGAUUUGGCAACUUUCCCACAUUUUGAACAUAACUUCCACCGAAUCAUCUUUGUCAUCAUCAGCUUGAGACUUCAUCUCGGUUUUCGCUUCAGGUUCACCAUUCAUGUCUUUCUCCUCCACACCAUUCCCAUUGCUGA
rnacentral:lncRNA from 1 species